GCCUGGGUGGCUCAGUCAGUUCAGCAUCUGACUUCAGCUCAGGUCAUGAUCUUGCGGUCCGUGAGUUCGAGCCCCAUGUCAGGCG
rnacentral:tRNA from 1 species